UGUGGAGUUAGUGCCAAUUGGUUAAAGGCCAAAAUUUGUUUUAAUUUAAAGUUAAUUGGAGCUAUCAAAAUAUUGUUUAUAAUUGAAUUAGUGUCGUUUAUUGAAAUCGAGCUAUUAAAAUGCUUAAAAUUGCAUUAGAAUUUGAUAUGCUCGCAAGCCACCUGCUGGACGAUUAGGAAGAAGAAGCACUCACAUUUUACGCAGCAUUGCUUAAAAGGGCUUAGGAUAUAUGAAUGUGAUCAAUUUCAUGUUUAAAGUGAAAUAAAUGUGUGGUUUUGUGUGUAAUUAAAAAAUACGACAGUUUAAGCGUACACAUACAUUUAUAUCAAAAGUCAAAGAGAAAAAAAUGCAAUUCUAAAGUGCUUUCAACUUGGUGCACAUAUGUAUGUACGUACAUAUGUUUGUACGUAUGGAUGUAGUUUGAUACGCAAGCCAUAGCAGACAAAAGUUAUUUGUAUGCAAUACUAUGCAAAUACACACAUGGAAUUUUUGCUCUUCUUUAACUUUCAUUCUUUGCUUGAAUGACUGCGAUUCCUAUGCUUAAAUCUUUUCGGUCCGUUAUUCGUUAUUUCUGGAGGCCGCCAAAGUGUCUGCUCAUUAUCUUCUGCGACCUUGUUUGCAUCGCAUUUUCUGACGUCAUAGCCUUUACUUUUAUUUGCCCCUCUUGCUAAAUAUUUUGUCUAAUCAUGCUUGGACUGUGGAAAAAUUACAUGUGCAAUAUGUAAAAUUACAGAGGCUACAAUUGAGUGGAAUAGCAACAUAUAAAAAGUCAAACUUUAAAGAACGCACCACUUUGAUUUUUUUGUGAUAAAACAUGAAAAUGAAGCGAAAACUUAAAAGCAUAAUCAAGUUGGAUUCGAAAUUCUCUGUGAACAUAUGGAUUAUCUUUCGAACGCUUUCCUGAAAUAUUAUAAUAAAAGCAAUUUCUAAGAAAAAUAAAAAUUGCUCGUUGCAUCGAAAAUGAACUUUAACAAGCCUCACAACACACACUCGUAAACACACACACACACACAUACAAUCACACUUGAUGCGCCGUCCUCAAAGCCGCAGGAGUGUGCACUGAGAACGGCAAACCGAGACGUCAACUGGAACUGGAACUGGUAGUGCCUUCACGUGGUGCGAAGGGAGGGCAGCGCGGAACGGUGCUGGAAAGUGUCUGCUGCUUGAGUUGGGUGUUCAAAGGGCAUGGUGCGUUAGGAUCGCAAUAAUCAAUUCUAUCGAUUGGCAUCAAAGAUCUCGGCCUUUUACUGACCUCCACGAUUUCAAAACGCACAUUUUUCCCGAGAUCGUACUUCAUUUAUCGAGAUAUGCAAAUUAUAAAUUUAAGUAAAACCUAAAUUAUUUGAAAUAAAGAGUCGAGCUAUGGCGGGUUUUCUAUUUUUCAGCCAAAUUUGCCACGCCCCAAUGGUUCCUUCUU